CUAUGACAUGAGUCAUGGCGGAAGGAG
rnacentral:ncRNA from 1 species